UGGGGAAUUUUCCGCAAUGGGCGAAAGCCUGACGGAGCAAUACCGCGUGAGGGAGGAAGGCUCUUGGGUUGUAAACCUCUUUUCUCAGGGAAGAAGUUCUGACGGUACCUGAGGAAUAAGCAUCGGCUAACUCCGUGCCAGCAGCCGCGGUAAUACGGAGGAUGCAAGCGUUAUCCGGAAUUAUUGGGCGUAAAGCGUCCGCAGGUGGUUACUCAAGUCUGCUGUCAAAGACCGGAGCUUAACUCUGGAAAGGCGGUGGAAACUGAGAAACUAGAGUUCGGUAGGGGUAGCGGGAAUUCCCAGUGUAGCGGUGAAAUGCGUAGAUAUUGGGAAGAACAUCGGUGGCGAAGGCGCGCUACUGGGCCGGAACUGACACUCAGGGACGAAAGCUAGGGGAGCGAAAGGG
rnacentral:rRNA from 1 species